rnacentral:rRNA from 1 species
AUGGCAACCCUUCGAGUCGACGAAAUUCAUAAAAUUCUCCGCGAACGUAUUGAACAAUAUAAUAGGAAAGUAGGGAUUGAGAAUAUAGGUCGCGUAGUUCAAGUGGGGGAUGGGAUUGCUCGUAUUAUAGGUCUUGGUGAAAUAAUGUCAGGAGAAUUAGUCGAAUUUGCAGAAGGUACUAGGGGUAUUGCUCUGAAUUUGGAAUCCAAAAAUGUUGGGAUUGUAUUAAUGGGCGAUGGGUUGAUGAUACAAGAGGGAAGUUUUGUAAAAGCAACAGGAAGAAUUGCUCAGAUACCCGUGAGUGAGGCUUACUUGGGUCGUGUUGUAAAUGCUCUGGCUAAACCUAUUGAUGGGAAAGGCGAAAUUAUAGCUUCCGAAUCUCGCUUAAUUGAAUCUCCUGCUCCAAGUAUAAUUUCCAGGCGUUCCGUAUACGAACCUCUUCAAACAGGGCUUAUUGCUAUCGAUUCGAUGAUCCCUAUAGGGCGCGGUCAGCGAGAGUUAAUUAUUGGGGACAGACAGACUGGCAAAACAGCAGUAGCCACAGAUACAAUUCUCAAUCAAAAAGGGCAAGGUGUAAUAUGUGUUUAUGUAGCUAUCGGUCAAAGAGCAUCCUCCGUAGCUCAAGUAGUAACUACUUUCCAUGAGGAGGGGGCUAUGGAAUACACUAUUGUAGUAGCUGAAAUGGCGGAUUCACCUGCUACAUUACAAUACCUCGCUCCUUAUACGGGAGCAGCCCUGGCUGAGUAUUUUAUGUACCGCGAACGGCAUACUUUAAUAAUUUAUGAUGAUCUCUCCAAACAGGCACAAGCUUAUCGCCAAAUGUCCCUUCUAUUAAGAAGACCUCCCGGCCGUGAGGCUUAUCCAGGGGAUGUUUUUUAU